UCGGCUUGUUGUGUUGCUGCCCGAGAACCGGAGACGGUCCUUGCUGCGGGGCUGCAGCUCUUCCAGCCGCCAGACAAUGUCGUCUCACUUAGUAGAACAGCCGCCGCCCCCGCACAACAACAACAAUAACUGUGAGGAAGGCGAACAGUCUCUGCCACCGCCUGCCGGCCUCAACAGUGAGUGCUGGGCCAGCGGACUCGGUUCCUGGGUGGAGCUCCCCAUGAACAGCAGCAAUGGCAAUGAUAAUGGCAAUGGGAAGAAUGGGGGGCUAGAGCACGUACCCUCCUCAUCCUCCAUUCACAAUGGGGACAUGGAGAAGAUUCUUUUGGACGCACAGCAUGAAUCCGGACAGAGCAGUUCAAGAGGCAGUUCUCACUGCGACAGCCCUUCCCCACAAGAAGAUGGGCAGAUCAUGUUUGAUGUGGAAAUGCACACCAGCAAGGACCACAGCUCUCAGUCAGAAGAAGAAGUUGCAGAAGGAGAGAAAGAAGUGGAUGCUUUGAAGAAAAGCGUAGACUGGGUGUCCGACUGGUCCAGUAGACCUGAAAACAUUCCACCCAAGGAGUUCCACUUCAGGCACCCUAAGCGUUCCGUUUCCUUAAGCAUGAGGAAAAGUGGAGCCAUGAAGAAAGGGGGGAUCUUCUCCGCAGAGUUUCUCAAGGUGUUCAUUCCAUCUCUCUUCCUCUCCCAUGUUUUGGCUUUGGGGCUAGGCAUCUACAUUGGAAAACGACUGAGCACGCCUUCUGCCAGCACCUACUAAGGGAGGAGAAGAGUCCCUGGGCCAGCGUGUGACUUGUGAAGUGGUGUCUUGUCACAGUAGUUUAUUUGAACUUGAGACCAUUGAAGCAUCACUUACACUCUGAAGCCUUUCAGCUCUGAAGACAGUUGUCUCAGAGUUAUUUCAAGCUCUUGGGAAACUUGGAAAACCAGACCUGGGUUGUGGGAACAGUUGACAGAGUUUUGAAGAGAAGCCAUCGGUUUUCUUCUGCUCCCUCCCUUUCUCAUGUUUGCCAUACCACCUGCCUGAGACGAUUCCUGUGAUUCCACAGGCGCUGGCCACUUCCUCCUCCCAUACCCAUCUUUCCAGUUCCACUCUGCAAGUCCCAGAACACUCAACAACUUCCUCUCAUGAUACACUUUUGUGUUCAUUUCUCAAAUGUGAAGCUUUAGGACCAAAUUGUUAGAAAGCAUCAGUUACCAUUUAUCUCAAGGAGGUUGAUUGGCUCUCUGAACACACAGCAUGACUCUGAAGGGAUGCUGUUAUAUGUGUCAUAUAUAAAUAGUUACUGUUUAUGGUAUAGACAUUGAAUAUUUAGAGAACCAUAGGGAAAACCAGGUCAACUUGAAUAAAAGAACUCUGAACCACCAGGUUUGCUAGUUUGCAGAAACUAUCUGUCUUCUCUCUCACAUCAAGUUUUGUAAAGUUGAUGUGUUAUAGUGGAAAAUAACGUAUAGCUUAAACAAAAAAAAUUAGUUUCUGACCUCUUUAUUCAAGAAUACAUCUGGAUAUCUUUAAGGAAAAUGGUAUAUCCAGGUAGUCUUCUGAAUUCUUCGACUUUUUCUUUCUAGUUUUUGUUGUCGCAACAAUUUUGGCCAUCUUUUUAUUAUGCCUUGUUUCUGUGUCUUAUUCACAAAUCUAAUAACACCUGAUUUGCCUUCUAUAACCUAUUUAUUUCAAGUCUUCAUUUUUCUUUGGGAAGAAAGUACAUCUGCUGGCUCGUUGGACUUCGAAAAGCCUUGAAUAAAAUUGGAAAGGCUGGUAAACUUAAGCAAACUAAAGAGCUAAACUGUUCUGAUAACACAGUUUGUAUUACAUUGAGUAUCACGGGAGGGAAAAGUAAAAUUAGAGAAAAGCAAGUUUAUAGAGACAACACAGGACUCGCUUUUGAAAUUCAGUAGUAAUCCUAUAAGGAGUGUGAUUGAGUACAUUUGUGGGGUUUUUUUGUUUGUUUGUUUUCCAACAUUGAAAAUAAAUGUAGUCCUGCCCCUUCAAAUAGCUGUGAAAUUUUGGACUAUAACUUAGAACAUGAAUACACGAUCACAGUAGAACUUAAUCAUAAGAUGAAAUCAUGCAGUAUUUAUCAAUAAC